AUUGAACGCUGGCGGCAUGCCUUACAUAUGCAAGUCGAACGGCAGCACGGGAGCAAUCCUGGUGGCAAGUGGCGAACGGGUGAGUAAUACAUCGGAACGUGCCCAAUCGUGGGGGAUAACGCAGCGAAAGCUGUGCUAAUACCGCAUACGAUCUACGGAUGAAAGCAGGGGAUCGCAAGACCUUGCGCGAAUGGAGCGGCCGAUGGCAGAUUAGGUAGUUGGUGAGGUAAAGGCUCACCAAGCCGUCGAUCUGUAGCUGGUCUGAGAGGACGACCAGCCACACUGGGACUGAGACACGGCCCAGACUCCUACGGGAGGCAGCAGUGGGGAAUUUUGGACAAUGGGCGAAAGCCUGAUCCAGCCAUGCCGCGUGCAGGAUGAAGGCCUUCGGGUUGUAAACUGCUUUUGUACGGAACGAAACGGCCUUUUCUAAUAAAGAGGGCUAAUGACGGUACCGUAAGAAUAAGCACCGGCUAACUACGUGCCAGCAGCCGCGGUAAUACGUAGGGUGCAAGCGUUAAUCGGAAUUACUGGGCGUAAAGCGUGCGCAGGCGGUUAUGUAAGACAGUUGUGAAAUCCCCGGGCUCAACCUGGGAACUGCAUCUGUGACUGCAUAGCUAGAGUACGGUAGAGGGGGAUGGAAUUCCGCGUGUAAAAUGAAAUGCGUAAAUAUGCGGAGGAACACCUAUGGCGAAGCAAUCUCCCUGGGAUCC
rnacentral:rRNA from 1 species